rnacentral:rRNA from 1 species
CCAAUAGCGUAUAUUAAAGUUGUUGCAGUUAAAAAGCUCGUAGUUGAAUUUCGGGAUCAAUAUAUCGGUCGUGCCAUCGGUACGUACUGGUAUGAUUGGUUUCUCCUUUCUGACGAACCAUGAUGUCAUUAAUUUGGUGUUGUGGGAAGUUAGGACUGUUACUUUGAAAAAAUUAGAGUGUUUAAAGCAGGCUUUGGCUUGAAUACAUUAGCAUGGAAUAAUGAAAUAGGACGUUCGAACCUAUUUUGUUGGUUUCUAGGAUCAACGUAAUGAUUAAUAGGGAUAGUUGGGGGCAUUAGUAUUCAAUUGUCAGAGGUGAAAUUCUUGGAUUUAUUGAAGACUAACUACUGCGAAAGCAUUUGCCAAGGAUGUUUUCAUUAAUCAAGAACGAAAGUUAGGGGAUCGAAGACGAUCAGAUACCGUCGUAGUCUUAACCAUAAACUAUGCCGACUAGGGAUCGGAUGAUGUUAAUUUUUUAAUGACUCAUUCGGCGCCUUACG